UUAGGUUGCUAAUUGGUGGGUAUAGUGGUUUUGGUAUAAAAGGCAGGGCAGGAGUGAGUUCUUAGAUCGCUCAAGCAAAAAUGAUGUGAAUUAAUAUUUGGUGUUGUGAGCCCCACGAGCAUCAUUAGAGCAAUAUUCAAAGCUGAAGAAGAAAGAUGUGAAGUGAUUGAUGCCCUCCCUAUUCAUGAAAACAAUAUGUUACAACAUGUUGCAAACUUGUUGUGAGGUGUGUAAUUGGCUCUUCGCAUUUAUUAUGUAAAUGUUGGUAAUUAUGUCUUCUCUGCAUGUAUGUAUGUUAGUAAUUAUACAAGCGUGUUCAAUUGUUUUUGAAUCUGAAUCAAAUCUUUUCAGCUGAAUGAGUCGGCUAGGAUAGACUUGGAUAUGGCGAAGGUUCUAUAUACUUGAGUGAUAAAUUUUUGUUAAGGCACACAAUUGAGAUGAGUUGGUCAUAUUUAAUUGUUUACGCCACAGAUGAGGAGUUCUAAGGAACAUCCUGUUUACAAUUUAAUCUCUUGUUGGUUAACUGUAUAUAUGGAAUUUUCUCAUGUUUUGUAGCGCAGGUUUGACAGAUUUCAAAUCCAUCAUGUUCUUUUUAAGAGGUUUGAAGAGGUUUGACAAAUUGAUUGUAUAUAUGGAGUUCUUUUGGGUUUUUUCUUAAGCUUAUGAGUUAAGGUGGUAUCUUCAAAUUGAAAUCCAAAACCCACAUGGGAAUCUCUGAUUGGUGGAUUGGGAAUUUGAUCUUUUAUUCGAUACUGAGCUCUUGAGGAAUUGAUGAUGACUGCAGUAUGCUGAAUUUGCAUUCUGACAAGUGACAACACUGGUCAAGGAAUUGAUCGCUUUUGGUUCUGACUUCGGGUUGUCUUGUUUAGGAUCAUUACUUUGCAUGAACAGAAUUGGUAGAAAUUUUAAUUAGCAUAGAAUAGAUAACAGUGCCUAGAGGCUGAAAUACUAGUACUUUACUACUUUAGUGUGAUUUCGCCGUGAUGAGGAGUGGAGUGAGUUGUUCAUUAUAAUUAUCAUUUUUAGUAUUAUCUUCAGAGGGCAUAAAUUGCCUAUCUUACCAGUGUUUAAACCAUCAUGUUUGUUUCUUGAAAUCUAGAAUUUGAAAAGCUAUAUAGGGGAAUUAGACAAGUGCUAAAUGCAUAUAUCUUGCCACAAUUAUCUAUAUACAUGUUUGAUGGUCUAUAUUUUCAUGUAUGCUUGUAUCAACCAAUACAAAGGUUCACUAAGCAAUUAUGCUUGUAGACACUUGUUAUGAUUGAGGUUGAAUUCUUUUAAAUUUUGAAAUUGGGUUGAUUAUGUAGUGAUAUGGUAAAUGUAGAGUAAAACUAGGAAAGAAGGCUUGAAGCUAAAAACAGAGUUCAAUGCUCAAUUCUUGGAAGAAUGAAACAAAUUGAGUGUCUUAUCAUUCCUAAGAUUAGUGUCAUCUUUCCAGGUAUCAAUUGUCACUCAUUCUUAUUGCUAUAGCCUAUAUGUUGAUAUUAUAAACAUGAUUCUAAAAUGUGUACUGAAUUAAAUUUCAAAUUCACAUGAAACUAACAAA